CUAGAAUCUAUUGUGCUUUCAAUACUGUACAUGGGGAGAAGACACAUCCGGGGAACAGACAAUUUUGAUGGGAACAAACUAUAAACAAAAACAAUGAAUAAUGUUUACAACCCAAUGUGCUGCAGACCAGUCCAGCUGGUCUGGCCCUGUCCCUGACCAAGGCUCCUGAGGCUUUCACCUGGCUGUGACCGACUGAUGAUCCCUGACUCCACACAGACAUUUAUCACACACUUUUACAUUAUUAAGUUGUUUAUUUAAUUAGUUAUUUAUUUAUGUGGACUGUACACUGCAAUUCAGCUCUAAACUGCCAAUGUUGUACACCUUGACAAUAAACUAAAACAUUGUGAAUGGUAGAGUUAUGGUAUAGUACUUACCUGCUUUCGAAUCAUCAGACAUACCGUGGAUAAUUUAAUUUUACAAUACACUUUUGCAACCAUACCCAUAUGCCUAUUGCAUUGUUGGUGGAGUAGAGAGGUUAUUUCUUGGUGAUUUUUUAUUUCUAGAGCGGCUAUUUCUUUCUUGAUCAAGACCUUUGUUAAUCAAAUAGAUAACGUUGACGUACGACGCCUCCUGGCAACCAUGUUCAAAGACCACCGCAUUAAUUCUUCCGACAACAACAGCCGAGUUGCUACCCCAAAUUGCAUGAUAACAGUGCCUAAAUUGAUUCAUCUCCACGGUCAUUUUCUGUGGAUUAUUUCGCUGCUCUAACAAGGCAGUAAAGACAACGGGGAAAAUAUGUUUACAGAUUCCCCGCAAUCAUGAAACGCCAGUGAGAUAAGACUCAAGAACUGUCAGAAACGCGAAGAAACCUUUUUGCCCAUCAAGACCUGAACCCAGACAGCUGUCAGGGUCUGCUAAGAUCAUUUCAUCACUGGGAAAAUGUGGUCUUUGAUAAGCGUGAUGCAAUUCUACUGCACUUUACUCUACUGAAUCUGACAACAUAUCAAUAAAAACGAAGUUGUCUUGAAUGCAACCAUUUAAUUUGACAAAUGCUGGAUCCCUUCUACCCAUGACCAU
rnacentral:lncRNA from 1 species